rnacentral:rRNA from 1 species
UACGUAGGUGGCAAGCGUUAUCCGGAAUUACUGGGCGUAAAGCGCACGCAGGCGGCGCAUCAAGUUCGACGUGAAAGCUCCCGGCUUAACUGGGAGAGGUCGUUGAAGACUGAUGGGCUUGAGGCAAUGAGAGGGGUGUAGAAUUCCCGGUGUAGUGGUGAAAUGCGUAGAUAUCGGGAGGAACACCAGUGGCGAAGGCGACUACCUGGCCUGUUCUUGACGCUGAGGCGCGAAAGCUAGGGGAGCAAACGGG